rnacentral:rRNA from 1 species
GCCUACGGGGCGCAGCAGUGAGGAAUAUUGGUCAAUGGGCGGAAGCCUGAACCAGCCAAGUCGCGUGAGGGAAGAAGGCCCUGCGGGUCGCAGACCUCUUUGGACGGGGAGCAAGGCCGCCGACGUGUCGGCGGAAGGAGAGUACCCGUAGAACAAGCAUCGGCUAACUCCGUGCCAGCAGCCGCGGUAAUACGGAGGAUGCGAGCGUUAUCCGGAUUUAUUGGGUUUAAAGGGUGCGCAGGCGGCGUGUCAAGCAAGCGGUAAAAUAGCGGGGCUCAACCCCGUCGAGCCGUUUGAACUGGCGC